rnacentral:rRNA from 1 species
AUUGAACGCUGGCGGCAGGCUUAACACAUGCAAGUCGAGCGGGGGAGGUUGCUUCGGUAACUGACCUAGCGGCGGACGGGUGAGUAAUGCUUAGGAAUCUGCCUAUUAGUGGGGGACAACAUUCCGAAAGGGAUGCUAAUACCGCAUACGCCCUACGGGGGAAAGCAGGGGAUCUUCGGACCUUGCGCUAAUAGAUGAGCCUAAGUCGGAUUAGCUAGUUGGUGGGGUAAAGGCCUACCAAGGCGACGAUCUGUAGCGGGUCUGAGAGGAUGAUCCGCCACACUGGGACUGAGACACGGCCCAGACUCCUACGGGAGGCAGCAGUGGGGAAUAUUGGACAAUGGGCGGAAGCCUGAUCCAGCCAUGCCGCGUGUGUGAAGAAGGCCUUUUGGUUGUAAAGCACUUUAAGCGAGGAGGAGGCUCUUAAGGUUAAUACCCUUGAUGAGUGGACGUUACUCGCAGAAUAAGCACCGGCUAACUCUGUGCCAGCAGCCGCCGUAA